GAGGGAGGGCCCGGCGCCGGGUGAUGAUGGGGCCCAGAGAUGCGUCCAGAGAGAGGGGCGGAGCUGGGAAGCAAGCUUGGGAAGGCCACAACUCCGGAAGAGAGAGGGCUGCUGGAGGCCAAGAGGAGCAGGGUGGAGAGGAGACAGAGGGCCAGGUUGGGCUCCUGAGCCUGAAGACUGCCCAGAGAAGCCGGCUAGGCCUCAGGAAACCUCGGAGCAAAUUCAGCAUUUCCAGAAGGUCUCUGAUGUUCCACGCACUUGUUGAAUUUUUCCAGCCUUAGAGUGGAUGCCUGAAUUAGAGGAGCAGUUCAUUCCAGUGGGAGCUGCCUGCCAGGUGCCUCGCCCUGUGGUACUGGCAGACAUGACAUAGACACCGGACACUUCACUUCCUCUUUUCUCCAGGAACUUUAACCCAGUAGUCGCUUCAGAGGCUGGGGCUUUAACCAGGCAUCAAGACUUGGAUCGCAAGUAGUUUCUGCAGGUAACUUUUCUUCACCUUUUUUCUUUUCUUUUCUUUUUUUGUAAUCAGAUUGGUUUUCUUUUUACUUCUCUUUACUCAACACGUGAACUUAUUAUGACAAGUUCAAACAAUAUAAAGGUAUAAGGGGAAAAAAAUACGAGUCCUCAAUCUCCCUCCUUCUACCCUUUGCACAAAUCCACCUCCCUUCCUGGAGGUUACCAAUGUCAAGGUUGCUGUUUACCCUUUCAGAUAGAUAGAUAGAUAGAUAGAUAGAUAGAUAGACCUAUUAUUUAUACAUGGCAAUAUAUGUAUACAAAACAGUUCACAGGAUAUGAAGCAGUCUGACCACAGGUGAUCCUCAGGAGGGCCCUUGAGCAUUCUGACUGGGCCCCUGGGCCCCGCUGGCUCUUGCAGCUGGCAUUUCCUUAGGCUCCAUUUAGAGGGAUCUCUAGCCAGAGGCUAGAAAGAGGCAACCCAAUUCUCCUUUCCUGCUGGUUCCCUUUGCUUCUACCUCCAGUUCAAGUCUUGAUAUUCCUACCUGCCCCUACAGUCACUGGAGAAGAAAGGUCAUAUCUGUAACAAUGAUCGUAACAACUAAUACAUUUUGAGGACUUAUUAGGUGCUAAUAUAGCUAAUAGCUAAUAGCUAAUUAGGUGCUUUCUUUUUGUGCAUGAUAUUUUAUCCUCACGCCAAUCCCUAUGCUGUUUUAUCCCCAUUCUGUGGGUGAAGAAAGUGAGGCUUGGAGAGGUUAAUUUACCCAAAGCCAUAUACUUAGAAAUUGUACUCAAUUUUGUCUGACUUUAAUGUUUAUUUAUUUGUGUGUGUGUGUGUGUGUGAGAGAGAGAGAGAGAGAGCACGAGCAGGAGAGGGGCAGAGACAAAGGGAAAUACGGAAUCCCAAGCAGGCUCCAGGAUCCAGCUGUCAGCAUAGAGUUGGACACAAGGCUCGAACCCACAAACCACGAGAUUAUGACCUGAGCUGAAGUCAGACACUUAAUCAAUUGAGCCACCUAGGUGCCCCUCAAUUUUGUCUCACUUUCAAGUUUGUCUUAACCUUACCUAUAUUGCUGUAACGUCAUCUCUUCUGCUUCAGGUAAUCAAUGUUGUUUUAACACCAUUUACAAGUCUAAACUCAGUUAUCCCUUCCAUUCUGAAUGUACAGCAGAUUCCACACCUUUAUGACUGUAUCCUUUCAACCAUCCUUUCUUCUUUGUUCUUAGGCUGAUCAUUCCAGCUGCCACCAGCAAG
rnacentral:lncRNA from 1 species